AGACUUAUUCUUGUUUUAUUACAAAACCUUCUCAGAGCUGUGUAUUAAAAUGAAGGGUGAAGUCCCAAGCUCAACUAACAGGCUGAUGCGUGCUCUGUCUCUUUGGAGGCAGCAAACUGAAUAACUUCUGGGAUUCAAAUUGCCAACAGACAUAUUGAAAAAGGAUACAAUUUAAUCUACCACAGAGUUGAAGAAUCUGGCAAAUAGCUGCAAAAUAAAAAACAAACAAUCUGGAUGCAGAAGAGAGGACCAGCUGCAAUUAAAGCUGUUUGCUAGGAUUCGUGAGCUCAUUUCUAACAUCUCAAAGAAUCCAAUGUCAAAUUGGAUUUAAAAAUAACCCUUCCAAAACAUAUUUAGUAUCUUACCUCAGAAAUCUGAUAAUCAGACCUUGACACAACUCCUCAUAAUACAAUAUUGUUAUGAGCAAGAAUAAGAUACCACCUACUAUGCUAUAAAGCAAAGAGUUUGCAGUGUUAUCUGUUCUUCAACUGGCAAACUGUAAAGGACACCAACCUUCAAUUAACAUUUUAAAAUU